AAGAAGUCAGGCCGGAUUAAGCCAUAGCACGGAAAGAGCUAUGCUGCCUGUGAGCCCCGUCCAAGGACGUAAAACGAAGUCAGGCCGAAAGCCACGGCUUGAGCAAACCGUGCUGCCUGUGGCUCCAUCGUGGGGAUGUAAAAACCCGGGAGGCUGCAACCCAUGGAAGCUGUACGCAUGGGGUAGCAGACUAGCGGUUAGAGGAGACCCCUCCCAAGACAUAACGCAGCAGCGGGGCCCAACACCAGGGGAAGCUGUACCUUGGUGGUAAGGACUA
rnacentral:lncRNA from 1 species